rnacentral:rRNA from 1 species
UACGUAGGGUGCAAGCGUUGUCCGGAAUUAUUGGGCGUAAAGAGCUCGUAGGCGGUUUGUCGCGUCUGCUGUGAAAACUCGGGGCUUAACCCCGGGCCUGCAGUGGGUACGGGCAGACUAGAGUGCGGUAGGGGAGACUGGAAUUCCUGGUGUAGCGGUGAAAUGCGCAGAUAUCAGGAGGAACACCGGUGGCGAAGGCAGCCUCCUGGGCCAGCACUGACGCUCAUGCACGAAAGCGUGGGGAGCAAACAGG